AACGCACAUUGCGCCCCCUGGUAUUCCGGGGGGCAUGCCCGUUCGAGCGUCAUUACACCACUCCAGCCUCGCUGGGUAUUGGGCGUCUUCGCGGGGGAGCAAUCCCCCGCGCGCCUCAAAGUCUCCGGCUGAGCGGUCUCGUCUCCCAGCGUUGUGGCAUCACGUCUCGCCGCGGAGUCUCGAGCCCUCACGGCCGUUAAAUCACACCUCAGGUUGACCUCGGAUCGGGUAGGGAUACCCGCUGAACUUAA
rnacentral:misc_RNA from 1 species